rnacentral:rRNA from 1 species
UCUUUAGAUAGGACAGACUGAGAAGACAAGACAAAAAUAAAAAAGAAUUGUUUAAGACAGUUACCUUGUGUAUCAUGGUUCGGCUAGUAGGUUCCUAGAAUUUGGAAACCCCGAAACCUCUUGAGCUUUUGCCCUCCUGUUAGGAACAUUUAGGGUUGAGUAAAAAUUAAUUUUUAGAGGGGGCCAAAGUGGGGAAAUCCCUGCCAAAAGGGGUUAUAUCUGGUUUUCAGGGAGAAAAGAAUAGGGCUCUUUCUAAGAAGUAAGAUCGGGGGGGUAAACUCCCGAUAUGACCUAGGGAUUUAACUUGUUUAGUUUGGUAGGCUUAGAAGCAGCCGCUAACGUUAUUGUAGUGCUAUUAAUAGUAGUAAAUCCUGGUUGAUAACCUGAAUUGGUGGAAGAAUUUGUUCUAUCUUAAUAAUGCCGGGAUGAGUAUUUAGGAAGAAAGUUGUAGAAAAAAAAAUAAUUGUGGGAAGGAACCCGGCAAAUUUUAGUCUUCGCCUGUUUAUCAAAAACAUCGCCUCUCGGACUAAUGGGAGGUUUAUCCUGCCCGGUGCUUAGUAAACGGCUGCGGUAGCCUAACCGUACAAAGGUAGCAUAAUCAUUAGCCUAGUAAUUGUAGGAUGGAAUGAAAGGUAAAACGGGGACUAGCUGUCUCCCUACAAUAUCUAGAAAUUGACUUUUGGGUGAAGAGGCCCAAAUUUUUUCAUAGGACAAAAAGACCCUGGGAGCUUGAGUGUAGCCUAAACGUAACACUUUUGUUGGGGCAACAGAGGAAUGACUAAUAAUAUCCUUUAGUAGAGUGUUUCAGAUUUUUCCGUUUUACGAUUAUAAGCUACCUCAGGGAUAACAGCGUAAUCCUUCUGGAGAGUUCUAAUCGAAAGAAGGGGUUGCGACCUACGAUGUUGGACUAAAGGCGCCCCUAGUUGCAGAAGGCUAGGGAGCGGGUCUGUUCGACCCUUAAAACUUUACACGAUCUGAGUUAAGACCGGCGUGAGCCAGGUUGGUUUCUGUCCUUGAUCUAUUAUCUUGCCAAUUAGUACGAAAGGAUUGUUGGCAUCAAAGAGUUUGGGUAGAGGAAUUAAUAUAAUUUUUAUUUUGCCAGGUUAGCGAGAGCAAUAGGGUUAGCCUAGUUGGGUUCUGGU